rnacentral:rRNA from 1 species
AACGAACGCUGGCGGCAGGCUUAACACAUGCAAGUCGAGCGCCCCGCAAGGGGAGCGGCAGACGGGUGAGUAACGCGUGGGAAUCUACCCAUCUCUACGGAAUAACGCAUGGAAACGUGUGCUAAUACCGUAUACGUCCUUCGGGAGAAAGAUUUAUCGGAGAUGGAUGAGCCCGCGUUGGAUUAGCUAGUUGGUGGGGUAAAGGCCUACCAAGGCGACGAUCCAUAGCUGGUCUGAGAGGAUGAUCAGCCACACUGGGACUGAGACACGGCCCAGACUCCUACGGGAGGCAGCAGUGGGGAAUAUUGGACAAUGGGCGCAAGCCUGAUCCAGCCUGGCCGCGUGAGUGAUGAAGGCCCUAGGGUUGUAAAGCUCUUUCACCGGUGAAGAUAAUGACGGUAACCGGAGAAGAAGCCCCGGCUAACUUCGUGCCAGCAGCCGCCGUAAAAC